UACGUGGGUGGCGAGCGUUGUCCGGAUUUACUGGGCGUAAAGAGCGCGCAGGCGGUCGUGCAAGUCGCGUGUGAAAGCCCCCGGCUCAACUGGGGAGGGUCACUCGAUACUGUUUGACUCGAAGGCGGGAGAGGGAAGUGGAAUUCCCGGUGUAGUGGUGAAAUGCGUAGAUAUCGGGAGGAACACCAGUGGCGAAGGCGACUUCCUGGCCCGUUCUUGACGCUGAGGCGCGAAAGCUAGGGGAGCAAACGGG
rnacentral:rRNA from 1 species